UUCAGCGUGUCCACAUCACAGCUCCCUCCA
rnacentral:piRNA from 1 species